GAGGAUCCAGGACCCACCCCUUCCCUGACCUCAUUUAAGGAUCGGCAGUGAAAGCAAGGAUAUCUUGCUGGAGAUUCCUGGGUACCUUAGGCCUUCUGAAAAAUUAGAAAGUAAAUGCAGAAGAUCAGUAGAAGCUGGCAAUCACAACAGAGGAGGGAAGAAAUUGACUCUGGCUUACGACUAAGAAAUUAAUCAAAAAGGACAAGUAUUAUCAUUGCUUGCGUCUCAGUUUAACAAGGAAAUCCUUCAGGAUUCUACCUCGGAAGGAGCCAUAUGAUCAAUGGAAUAACAUGUCAGGAGCUGUUAGACAAAAUGAUGCUGGUUGUAUAUAGCAGCCUUGCUGCAGAAUUUUGGAUGCAUUUCGCAUACUGAACUUCGGAGGCUCAAACUGUGGGAUUUUCCCUGGAUCUCAGAGGAUCACAAGGGUAUAAAUUACUGUGGUGAGCAGCUUUUUAAAGCAACAGAAUAUUUGAAGAUGGAAACGUAUUGGUUUGGUUCUAUUGGGGUUUUUAAAUAUGUUCAGAAAUUCAGCAGGAUUCUGGAUGCUUCUCUGCUGGGACUGCUCAGUACAGCAGUGGUGCUACUGAAGCUGGAAGUCCAUCCCAAAGUCAGCAGCCAACAAGAAAGACUCGAUUACUCCAUUGAGCAGAUUGAACUUGAGUGAACAACAGCUUUGUUGCUGUUUUUCAGAGGCUUCUGCCUCACAGCCUGAAUCAAAGGUCCUGACAGUCAUCCAGAUUGCCUCAAGGUUUAGGUAAUAAUCUGACCUUGCUCUAUGGGUAUUUACUAGCUAGACUGCCAGUAGCAGCUUGAAAUUUUGAUUCCACCCACUUGACUUGGAAGAAAUAUAAGUGCCGAAUAUAAAAGGGCAAAGAAAACUAAACUGUUAAGGUUGCUGACAAGAUGAUUCAUCUUAAAGUUUGUGUAAACCCUGUCUGACAUCUUUUUCCCUGCUCACGCUCAAAUCUAUUGCAAAGGCAGAGGGGAGGAAAAAAAACAAUUCAAGUGUUACUUCACGAAAUUUCUUCUUCUAUUGUCAGAUUUGUGAGCAACUGAGCAAUUUUCCUAAAGUAACUCUGCAAGUAUGAUACAGUAGAAUCAGAAAAUGAAGAUCCCAGUGAAAUGCUUCCUGGGGUAGUCUUGAGGACAUCUGUGUUAGAAGGAAUUCAUCAUAUGACAAGCCUGCACAGCCAGGUGCAAUGUUGUCUGCUUUGCUCUAAAGACAGCCUUGUUGAGAUGCCAGGUAUCCCGGCAGGACCUCUUGGCUCACGCACAGAGCUGCCUUCUGCCUGUGGUUUAAGCUAGUAAGGAGCAAUAGUGGGGUCUCUACUGAUUUCUUGUUCAUGUUCAACAAGAUGACAGCAAAAAAAAAAAAAAAGUGCAUUUGUCUACCAGUGGGCAUAUAAACUAAGUCCUUCUGUUGGAACUAAUCUUGGUUAUUUUCUCAAAGACAGUUCCCCAUUUGAUUUGACUACCACAUGUUUGUUAGAAUCUACCCAUACAAAGGAAAAGGGAACUUUGGAUCUCUCAGGAAAAUGAGUUCUAUUGCUGAAAUGAAUGUUUCUUAAUUGCUUGGCCACAAAAUGUGCUAAAAAAAUCUGGGCUAGCUGGUAGCUCUGCUGUUUCUGUGUAGAAAGGAGUAUAAAUUGAUUCAGCAUGCUUAUAUUGGGAUAACCUUAUCCGUACCGGGUAGGCUGUGAUUGUGCCAGCCCUGCAGCUUCUGCUGCUAACAGCAGAGUCCAUUCUCACACCAUCUUGAUUAAAUCUUAUUCCUGUGAGCAGCUAUCCACAGCAUGCUUGGGUCACAAAGCAUAAUGCUGCUUCUGCAGGCCUUCCACUCGUCUAAAUAAAACAUAGAGGUUGGUGGCUGCUAAGUGGAGGAAAAAAAAAAAAAAAAAGAGAAAUGGAAUGGAAAACUUGGGCUUUCUGACUCACCUGUAUUGGCAGCAACACUUAAAAAAAAAAACAUUAGAAUGUUGCCACAAAAUAGUGGAGCGUUAUUCUUCACAUUGUUGAGCCAGAGUUAUACUGAGAGAAAGGUGGGUACUGCAGGAGUAAUUACUGUUUUUUUCAGCACAGAGUCAUUUACUUGACAGGAAUGUGGAUAAUUUUUUCUUGGUGCGUAGUAGUUUCAUAAACAACAGUGUCUGAAGAGAAUCAGAAAAUCAGGCUCAAGUUCCCAUGCUUGCCUGACACACUGCUCAAAAUCCAGUGCUUGUGGAAGCUUCCUAAAGUCUCCUGUGCCAGCUGCUGCAUCGGAGGGACUAAUGAAAUAUAACUGCAGGACCAAUGCAGAGUCAAGUCCUUAACAACAUUUUAGUAAGUUAGAAACUACAUUUCAAACCUUCUGAACUCACAGGUAACAGGGCAGAUUUGGAGUUACCCAUAAUCUAAAUAUGAUGCUGAUUUCUACUUAAGGCAGUCUUUGACUAAACAUAUUCAGAGCUAAGAGCAAUACUGAAUAUUGCCUAAAGAUAGGAUAUCCACCACUGCUUUGUGAAAACCUUAUGGUACAGGUUCGGUCCUUGGAAAAUGCUGGUUUGUUUCCUGUUUUAGGCUGUAAUUCCAAACUAGGGAUGUGCAAAUGGGAAUUAAACAUAGGAAACAAAAGAAGACUUAAGGGAACAGACUUCCACCGUCAGUGCUUUCUUUUCCUCCUUUAUCAAAUUCAUGGCAAGAUAGUCAUGCCUGUAAUGUGAAUUAAAUCAGGUUUUAACAAAACACCCUGCUGAACAGCUGUGAUAGUUUUUAAAGCUGUUUUGGGCCAUUACACCUAUUAAGGAGGAGCAUAAUGGUGGUAUCUGAACCCUUGGGACCUACAAAGAAAGCAAAGUUGAGACUGAAAACUGUAGUUCAGGAUAUACUGUGCUUUGGAGAAUCGCCUCCAGGGUGGAAGUGCUUGUCAUAAAAUCUGAUGUCUGUGGGCUCGGAAGCUGAGAGCUCAUUUUACUAUCUGAAUUUGAAAGAAGCCUCCAGAGAAAUGAAAAAGGCUUUUUCAAUGAAAAGGAUGCCUUUCUUAUAAUCUUAAAAGAAAAUAUGGAAUUUUUGUUCACCUCAAGGUUUUGCCAUUCCUCAAUUCUAUAUAUGGGUUUGUGUGUGCAUUUUAGUUUUUCUUAAACCACAAUGCUGUUGUCAAAACUGUCUAAUUUUCAAAGACUACAGAGAAAACAUUGCAGAACUGAGAAUCUGAUUUGGGGAUACUAUGUCAGUGGUGUUCUGACAGUGUUUUAACAAGGGGAUCCACAAAACAGUUCUCUUUUAGCAGCAGCGAAACCUCUUGGGAAACUUGCGGGUAUAUGUCUGCCGAGAUGAAAGAGACUGAGAUUCAUGACAAAGUUGUAGAAUAUGAAAUACGGCUGUGGUGUGUUUGUUUGUGAUAUGCUUCUACUGUUGCUUAGGUGAUUUAAAAAAAAAAAAAAGAAGAAAAAGGAUGCUGGUUAUGUCUAACCUCUUGAUUUGUUCCCUUCAAAGCACCGCUUAUUAGGUUAAGAACAUAUUUUGCUCACAUAUGCUAUUAGGAUAAUUAUGCAUUUUUCUGCUAAUUGAUAGGAUGAGAGUUAGAGAGGACUUUUAUGUGGGAUUCCAGAACGGGUUUUAGUACUUCUUUGCUAGUUUCUGGCAGAAGGAGGCAUAGUCCCUUUUUUUUUUUUUUAGAUGUUUGAUCUCAGAAAUUCCCUGGAAAUAUAGAAGCCUUAGAAAACUCAUUAAAAUGUACUUGGUCUUUCCUGCUAUGU